rnacentral:ncRNA from 2 species
UUCUUAUCCAGAGAGGUGGAGGGACUGACCCUGUGAAGCCUCAGCAACCAGCGAACUUUUGCAUGGUGCUAAUUUCAGAGGGAUACAGUCGCAUCCCGAAGAUGAGAA